rnacentral:lncRNA from 1 species
ACAAUUAUAAAAUUAAAAUGGUAAUGAAUCAAAAUAUAAUCAAAGUCCGUUUAGAUCACGCAAACCAUUUAUUUGAAGUAUUUAUAAGUUUCACGAAUUUUAUUUUUUUCUCAAAGAACUUGGAAUACACUCGGUCCAUCUAGCGGUGACAAUAUUAAGUUAAAUUAAGUAGUAUUUUUGACAUUUAAAAUCUUGCGAUUGCAUUUCUUCCGAAUAACUUCAAUUUUACGUGAAAAGAACACAAAAAUCGAUCAAAAUACGUUUUAAAACACUCAAACUAUGUGUUAAAAGUGAUUAUGUGGUCCACGCAGAUUUCUUAGGUUAAUUAAUUCAGAGAAGUGAGGAGUCGAUGAAAAGACUCCUCACUUCUCAAGAUAACCCCACUUUUUUAAGGCGUCAAUUUUAACCUUUAAGGGAUUAAUAAAAUCGGGAUGAUACAGUAAGUAGAUUAAUUUUAAUUCGUUUUAUCAACCACAUAUAACAAAUUUAUAAGAUUUAAUAAUUUUUGAGGUUAUGAUAAACUGUCAACCGUUUGGGCUGCGUUCAUAAAAUUAAAAGGAGCAAUGUAACGAAUAAAAAUAUUCUGCAUAAAGGCAAAUUGGGUUAGAUAUCCAGAGAUCCGGUUUUCCCGGUAUAAAAACUUGGAAUACGCUCACUCCAUCUAGAGGUGACAUAUUAAGUUAAAUUAAGUUGUAUUUUUGACAUUUAAGAUGUGGUGAUUGACAUUUCGUCCGAAUAACUUCAAUUUUAUUUGAAAAGAAACUUAAUUGUACUAAAAAAUCGAUCAAAAUACGUUUUAGAACACUCAAACUAUGUGUUAAAAGUGAUUAUGUGGUCCACACAGAUUUCUUAGGUUAAUUAAUUCAGUUUUCAUCGAUUCCUCACUUCUCAAGAUAACCCCACUUUUUUAAGGCGUCAAUUUCAAAUUUUAAGGGAUUAAUAAAAUCGGGAUGAUACGAUUUAUUCCUGGAUUUUUUGAGGUUAUGAUAAAGUGUCAACCGUUUGGGCUGCGUUCAUAAAAUUAAGAGCAAUGUAACGAAUAAAAAUAUUCUGCAUAAAGACAAAUUGGGUUAGAUAUCCAGAGAUUCGGUUUUCCCGGUUUAAAAACUUGGAACACACUCACUCCAUCUAGCGAUUUUAGCUGUGACAAUAUUAAGUCAAAUUUAGUCGUAUUUUUGACAUUUAAAAUCUAAUGAUUGCAUUUCGUUCGAAUAACUUCAAUUUUACGUAAAAAGAACAGAAAAAUCGAUCAAAAUACGUUUUAGAACACUCAAACUAUGUGUUAAAAGUGAUUAUGUGAUCGACGCAGAUUUCUUAGGUUAAUUAAUUCAGUUUUCAUCGACUCCUCACUUCUCAAGAUAACCCCACUUUUUUAAGGCGUCAAUUUCAAACUUUAAGGGAUUAAUACAAUUUAUUCCUGGAUUUUUUGAGGUUAUGAUAAAGUGUCAACCGUUUGGGCUGCGUUCAUAAAAUUAGAAGGAGCAAUGUAACGAAUAAAAAUAUUCUGCAUAAAGGCAAAUUGGGUUAGAUAUCCAAAAAUCCGGGUUUCCCGGUAUAAAAACUUACACACUCACUCCAUCUAGCUGUGACAAUAUUAAGUCAAAUUUAGUCGUAUUUUUGACAUUAAAUUUAAGAUGUAGUGAUUGACAUUUCGGCCGAAGAAUUUCAAUUCUACGUGAAAAUGAACUUAAUUGUACUGAAAAAGCGAUCAAAAUACGUUUUAAAACACUCAAACUAUGUAUUAAAAGUGAUUAUGUGGUCCACGCGGAAAUUAAUUCAGUUUUCAUCGACUCCUCACUUCUCAAUAUAACCUCACU